rnacentral:misc_RNA from 1 species
GAUGAAGAACGCAGUGAAAUGCGAUAAGUAAUGUGAAUUGCAGAAUUCAGUGAAUCAUCGAAUCUUUGAACGCGCAUUGCGCCUGCCAGUAUUCUGGCGGGCAUGCCUGUUCGAGCGUCAUUUCAACCCUCAAGCCCCAGCGGCCUGGUGUUGGGGACCGGCGACCUCGCCCGAGCCCGCCCUCCGGGGCGCGUGCCCGGUGCGUCCGCCGCCCCCGAAAUGAAUUGGCGGCCUCGUCGCGGCCUCCUCUGCGUAGUAGCACAACCUCGCAAGCGGGAGCGCGACGCGGCCACUGCCGUAAAACGCCCAACUUUUUUAGAGUUGACCUCGGAUCAGGUAGGAAUACCCGCUGAACUUAAGCAUAUCAAUAAGCGGAGGA